GACGAACGCUGGCGGCGUGCUUAACACAUGCAAGUCGAACGGAAAGGCCCUGCUUUUGGUGGGUGCGCGAGUGGCGAACGGGUGAGUAACACGUGAGUAACCUGCCCUUGACUUUGGGAUAACUUCAGGAAACUGGGGCUAAUACCGGAUAUGAGCUCCUGCUGCAUGGUGGGGGUUGGAAAGUUUCGGCGGGUGGGGAUGGACUCGCGGCUUAUCAGCUUGUGGGUGGGGUAGUGGCUUACCAAGGCUUUGACGGGUAGCCGGCCUGAGAGGGUGACCGGCCACAUUGGGACUGAGAUACGGCCCAGACUCCUACGGGAGGAAGCAGUGGGGAAUAUUGCACAAUGGGCGGAAGCCUGAUGCAGAAAGGCCGCGUGCGGGAUGACGGCCUUCGGGUUGUAAACCGCUUUCGCAUGUGACGAAGCGUGAGUGACGGUAAUGGGUAAAGAAGCACCGGCUAACUACGUG
rnacentral:rRNA from 1 species